GCACCUUUCAGCCCUCACCACCAUGCUGCAAUCCGCUCCCGGCUCCCAAUCGGGGAGAAACUUGGGUGCGCCGUUGUAUGAUGUGGAAGGGAGAUGUGAAGGGGCAAUAUGCUUCGAGAGAAAACCAUAGUGUGCCGCAAAAUUCUACAUCCAGCGGCUGUGCCAUCUGAACUGGAUCCACUCACUACACCAUGAACUGGAUCCAUCUGUAUUAGCGACGGCGCCAUCUAAACUGGAUCCACUGGCGGACAGCCGUCUAAGCCGGUUGUGCUCUUUCUCUGCAGGAACUGCUCGCAACUGAUCUGAUCGGGAUCAGGGUCAUGGCCACAGCCACGGGGAUAAGGCCAUGAAGAUGCCACUUCCGUUCCAGGAGUGAAUAGCACUUUUCCCGACGACGCGCCCUGUCUCAGUACGGGAUGUGCACGGGUGCAAAGGUCUUGUACGAGUGCUUCAACAAAUCGUCCACGUAGCUCGGUUGCCAUUUUUUCUGUUUUUGUAUUUAUUCACGUUUUAUUUAGAUUUAAGCAACAUAUUGCAUAAAUUAAUAAUUUCCUGUGUGAGGUGCGGUGUUGAGAGUGUGCUGGGGAGUGCUUCGAGUGCUGGAGACUCCUUUCCAGAGCUAAAUUUGAAUAAAAAUGUUGCUUCGUCGCCUACAGAAAAUUCAGCAGGUCGAAGUGCUGCUACCGUUAUGGAGAGCAAGUGUGCUUUAUCUUUGUGCAUAUGUGAGGCACCAACACCAGAACCUGCACCUAAGAAUGUCGAUUACAGUACGAUCAAUUAAAUCAGAACCUGCACCUGAGAAGAAUAUCAGUGUCGCUUCCUUGACUACAAAUUAAAUUCAAAUCCAAAUGAAUCUUCUAUCAAUCAAUAUUCAGCUGAAUUAAGCACCAAGAAGUCUUCAGCUACUUCAGCAGCAACUCAAGGUUUGGUGAACUUCACUUUUGUACAUUGUUAAUAGGAAUAUCUAACCUGUUGUCAUAUUCCUAUCUACUAAUCUUCAUAGUAUCCUGUGAAGUUAAGUGAUCAACUUUGUUCUACAAAAUUUCACAUUUUAGUUAUUUCACAUCUGUAAUAGGAAGGUUAGAUAUGUGACUUUGUUCCACAAGUUAUAUACUCCCUCCCAUUCAUAUUAAUUAUCGCUAAUUUGGAUAUAUCUCUUGGUCAUUAUGUUACUGACACUACUUCUACUCUUUUGUUAGGAAGGUUAAAUAUGUGCAUUAAGCAUAAACUUUAAAUUAUAACUGAUAUUUUUUAUCUCUUUGUGGAUGCAUUAAUAUUGUUGUUCCAACUCAUUCUUAAAUCUGGCAAACGAGAAACGAUAUUUGUUAUAAGACUCCUUAUAUGAAGUUAUUGGAAGGUAAUCUUAGAAAUAGCUCAAUAGUUCUCCCUUUCGAUUUAUUUGUCCAAUCCAUCAGGUACAUCAAAUAUUUCUAUCAUGUAGGAGUUUCCUGUUAAAAAUUUAUUUAUUUAUAGGGACCGAGAGAAGCAAAUAAAAGUGGGGACUAAAGUUGUGAAAAAACUUCUUAGUCAGAUACCUUUCUAUCUUUUGUCUUUGUUUUGUAUUUAUCGACUUGAUUCUUGCAGUAAAUAUUGGGCAGGGAGUAUAUUCUAACUACCGUGACAAGGAAAGAUUUACUUUUCUGCAUUUGGUAUUUGGUAUAUUUCAAUAAUUCCCUGUUAAGUUGCAUAAAUGUUUUCUUAUUAUUUUUAUGGUUGUGCAAGAGAAACAUCAUUUGCAGUAUAAAGGAUAGCACAGCAAUGCACUAGGAUGAUAUACAAUGAAAUAUCCAAACAUACACAAAAAUCAAUUGGUCUACUUUUUGAGUUGUUGCUUCUGUAUGUGCCAAAUACAUAUGCAUUCGUCCCUAUAAUAUAAGAAGUCCUUUGAAUGCAAAGCUGAUUACAUAUUCGUGUUUAUUUGCAAGCAACUUUGUGUGGUUUGGAAGAUCGUACUACUCAGCACAUACAUGUCAAAUCAAAAUGAGCAAAUCUCCAUCUAAUGAAGCAUGUAUUGCAGGCUGACUUAUUUAACCAGACCGAGAUUACACUUCUCAUGGAUAUUGGAGUAAAUAUCCAAUACAUAGUUAAGUUUUUUACUAUAUGAGCCCAUUUUGUCAUGGAUUUAAUUGCUUAUUUCAUUUGCUCAAAUACUAUACAACGACAUGUUCUUGAAGUUCAAUUCGUUAUAUUUUUUAAGUUUCCUAUGCUAUUCUUAAAUUACGAGCACUUAUUGGUGACUUUGAUGUUUGUAAUGAUUUUGUAUCCUCUCAAAUUGUAUAAGUUGUGUUAGAAGAAUAGCCUAUGUGAAAAAAUGAAGUUUGCUAAACUGUUUAUAUUUUCUAAAUAUCUAAGUAUUUUAACGACUUGCAUGUUUAUGUGUAUCAGUGUAUGUAAAGUUUCGUGAAUUCCCUAUGAACAUGCAACAUUUUGAGUUACUAUCAAUUGUAGCUGAUGUUUUAUUCACUGGGUAGGACAAGUUUGAGCGAACACAUAACAUUUGAUUAAAAUUUAAGUUUUAAGGUAACAAAUGUAAGAAUUAAUCAUAUCAUAAAGGAUUAUGGAAGAUACAAGACAUGUCUCUUCAUAAUAUUUAGUCAUGCUUCAUUUAUUAGUCCUAUAUCAUUUGGAAUUUACCAAAUUAAUUCAUGGUAUAAUUUUGCGCCUUCAACAAAUGUAUUGUUAGGAGAAUUUCUCAUAUACUCUACUACUUGGUAUUUAGUGUUUAUUUGAAAUCAUUCUAUGUUUAAAUCAACUAUCGAGAAACUAUCACUUAAAAUAAAUGCAACUUUAAUCUCUAUGUUUGUGUCUAUCAUCAAAAUGGACGGGCGCGGCAACGCGCGCUGUUAUGG